rnacentral:rRNA from 1 species
GGAGGCAGCAGUGGGGAAUUUUCCGCAAUGGGCGAAAGCCUGACGGAGCAAUACCGCGUGCGGGAGGAAGGCCCUUGGGUCGUAAACCGCUUUUAUCAGGGAAGAAGUUCUGACGGUACCUGAUGAAAAAGCCUCGGCUAACUCCGUGCCAGCAGCCGCGGUAAUACGGAGGAGGCAAGCGUUAUCCGGAAUUAUUGGGCGUAAAGCGUCCGCAGGUGGUAUUGUAAGUCUGCUGUCAAAGACAGAAGCUCAACUUCUGAAAGGCAGUGGAAACUGCAAAACUAGAGUACAGUAGGGGUAGAGGGAAUUCCCAGUGUAGCGGUGAAAUGCGUAGAGAUUGGGAAGAACACCGGUGGCGAAGGCGCUCUGCUGGGCUGUAACUGACACUGAGGGACGAAAGCUAGGGGAGCGAAUGGGAUUAGAUACCCCAGUAGUCCUAGCCGUAAACGAUGGAAACUAGGCGUGGCUUGUAUCGACC